CACACCCACUCGCUCGCUGCCCCUGCCGCCCCACCGGAGGUCCCGGCCUGAGGACCGCCGGCUCGGCCAGCUCUGCCCGCUGCAUGGGCCCGGCCCCAGAUGUGGGACGUCUGGCCAUUGCCUCCUAUUCAUUCUCCCUGGCCUUCGGGGCUCCAGGUCCGCGAAGCCAGAAAACCAGGGAUCGAACUCGGGUCCUUGCACUUGCACAGCAGGCAGUGAAACCACUGAGCUAAAUCCCUGGCCUGAGACCAAAACCGGGGAUCAAACUCAGGAUCUUGCAUUUCCCAGGCACGCACAGCACCACUGAGCUAAGUCUCUGGCCCAGAGACUUUUUUUGCUUUUUGGUGAUACUGUGGAUUAAAGCAGGACCUCUGUACUCAGCUAUAUCCCCAGACAUUUUUAAAUUUUUAUUUCUGUAUUUUUUGAAAGAGGGUUCCGCUAAAUUG